rnacentral:rRNA from 1 species
UACGGGGGGGGCAAGCGUUGUUCGGAAUUACUGGGCGUAAAGGGCUCGUAGGCGGCCAACUAAGUCAGACGUGAAAUCCCCAGGCUCAACCUGGGAACUGCGUCUGAUACUGGAUGGCUUGAGUUCGGGAGAGGGAUGCGGAAUUCCAGGUGUAGCGGUGAAAUGCGUAGAUAUCUGGAGGAACACCGGUGGCGAAGGCGGCAUCCUGGACCGACACUGACACUGAGGAGCGAAAGCCAGGGGAGCAAACAGG